UGGGGAAUAUUGGACAAUGGGCGGAAGCCUGAUCCAGCCAUGCCGCGUGUGUGAAGAAGGCCUUUUGGUUGUAAAGCACUUUAAGCGAGGAGGAGGUUACUUGGAUUAAUACUCUAGGAUAGUGGACGUUACUCGCAGAAUAAGCACCGGCUAACUCUGUGCCAGCAGCCGCGGUAAUACAGAGGGUGCGAGCGUUAAUCGGAUUUACUGGGCGUAAAGCGUGCGUAGGCGGCUUCUUAAGUCGGAUGUGAAAUCCCUGAGCUUAACUUAGGAAUUGCAUUCGAUACUGGGAAGCUAGAGUAUGGGAGAGGAUGGUAGAAUUCCAGGUGUAGCGGUGAAAUGCGUAGAGAUCUGGAGGAAUACCGAUGGCGAAGGCAGCCAUCUGGCCUAAUACUGACGCUGAGGUACGAAAGCAUGGGGAGCAAACAGG
rnacentral:rRNA from 1 species